GAUUCAUUACUUUCGAAAGGAUUAUCCGAAUUUGUACGGUUCAUUCGUGCCAACAGUCUACCUGGUUAACGUCUUUACGGAUUCUCUCUUUCUCUGUCCUUCAAUAUUCUCCACUGUUCUUUCUCUCUCUUGCUCGUUCUCCCGGUUAAAGUAACGGCACGCGAUUGCUUAGUGCGUAAGGUGCGUUGCACCGUGAACGCAGCGUCACGCAGUCACGGAACUUCCCCGUAAAGUUCGUUACGUGAAAAUCCCGCCGAAAAAAAAGAAGAGAAAAAAUUAUCACCUGACUUGAUUCUAAGCAUAUCAAAAUAUUCGAUACCCGUUUUAUUCCUUAUCGAAAAGAAAUAAAAAAACAAGCGAAACGAUGCGACUUAUCUGCAAGUCGCAGCAGACAGCCAGGCGUGGCUUUUGAACGUGAACUAGAAAUCUCUCGGGACGAUAAUGCGCGAUGCCGUUAGACAGUGUAGCGUCAAGAAUAUCUCUUUCUUUUUCUACGACUCCGAUGAACCGUCAUAUAAGCAAAGAUCGCGACGAUAAAAUACAUCGUGAAAUUUUGAACGAUCAAACGGCAAGUGUCUAACGUUCAGCAUUCGAGGUUAAACUUCCAACAGUACCUUAAGGCAGUGUAUCCAUAAGAAUCAUCCGACGCCAAUAAUUAUCGUGUUCCAGGGUUUAAAUAUCUCGAGAAACAGGUUUAACGACUCUUUUCAAAGCCCAUUGAAUAUUAAUCGACCAAUCUGUACGAGUGAUGGCAAAGAUUUUGUCGGAUUAAUAUUUAAAUCUCGUAGACUCGAUCGUGCCGCCGCUGUAUCAACGAACAGGUCAAUUACUGUUGGACCAUCAAGAAGCUGCAUCAGAUCCGCAAAGUCGGGUAAUCAUUUACGUGAACGUAAUAAUGGGUGCCAGACAAUCCCUCAACGCGUAUCGCACUGCUGACUGGUACAACAAUAGUUGGUCGGGUCUUCCGUUAGGGGAGCCUCGGUAGAAAUAAUUCGACUAAAGUGACAUCUCCGAAUCGUAAUUUGUUUCGCUCGGAUUUUCAUACACUUAGUACUGGUAUCGUAACACUCUGUGCCUUGUGUAUAGUACACAGUAAGAAUCCAACGAGACUUUCACCUUAGCAUUUACAAAGGACUUUACGAAGCGUCCGUUUCAAAAGCCGUUGUCACGAGGCACUAGAAAGUACACUGACUUCGAUUAUCGACUCGAACGGAAAUUUUGUGCCUGAUUCGCCACAACUGAUCGGUUAACUAACCGCUCGAUAAAGAUGUUUCGAUAAUCGUAAAGGUUAUAUUUCUUUGAUGCACACCUGCUGCUGCUGCAUCGACAAAAUUUAUACUGACAAUCAUCCAGCGUGAAUCCACUGUUGCAGUGUGAUCAAGUGAUACAAAAUGAAGAACGUAAAAGUACGUGGCAGCAUAAUCGAUUGUUAUUAACAAUGAGUCAAAGUAUCGUUGCAAAAUUAUCAUCGCGUGUUAAAAACUCAAUGUUGUUUUUCCACUGAAACAUGCGUGACCCUGAAAUGUUAAUACGAUGAUUUUUGUUUACAACACGAAAUUUCUCACAGGCGUUAA